UUCAACCACGUUUCAACGUUGCUUUCAAAAUUCAAGGGACUUACCAGAUCUAACUAGAGUUGGACCAUCUUUGCGCAUUUCUGUUAUCCUGGUACUAAAUCUUGUACAUAGAAGAUAUGUGAGUUGGGAUUCAAUGAGUUGGGUACGACCUCUGAUAUUGCCAUCUGUUGUCAGGUGGUCGAAGUUUUAAAGCGACCUACAAUCACCUGUGUUGUAGCUUUUUAGCGAUAGGUGUCGCUAAAUAAGACAAUAAAUUUUUCGUUAAAAUACA
rnacentral:lncRNA from 1 species